UACGUAGGGAGCAAGCGUUGUCCGGAAUCAUUGGGCGUAAAGCGCGCGUAGGUGGCUUCAUAAGUCCGUUGUGAAAGUCAAAGGCUCAACCUUUGAAAGCCGAUGGAUACUGUGGAGCUAGAGUACGGAAGAGGCGAGUGGAAUUCCUGGUGUAGCGGUGGAAUGCGCAGAUAUCAGGAGGAACACCAAUAGCGAAGGCGGCUCGCUGGGCCAUUCCUGACGCUGAGACGCGAAAGCUAGGGGAGCGAACAGG
rnacentral:rRNA from 1 species